UAAACUACACCUACUAUCCGCCCGGGGACUACGAGCAUCAGCUUGAAACCCAAAGGACUUGGCGGUGCUUUAGAUCCACCUAGAGGAGCCUGUUCUAGAACCGAUUACCCCCGUUCAACCUCACCUUUCCUUGUUUUAUCCCGCCUAUAUACCACCGUCGUCAGCUUACCCUGUGAAGGACUCAUAGUAAGCAAGAUUGGCACAGCCCAAAACGUCAGGUCGAGGUGUAGCGUAUGGAAAGGGAAGAAAUGGGCUACAUUCCCUAAUACAGUGAAAUACGAACGAUACACUGAAAUACGUAUCCGAAGGAGGAUUUAGCAGUAAGCAGAAAAUAGAGCGUUCCGCUGAAACCGGCCCUGAAGCGCGCACACACCGCCCGUCACUCUCCCCGAGCUUACCGACUCUGUAAUACUUAAGACCUCAAAACUGCAAAGGGGAGGCAAGUCGUAA
rnacentral:rRNA from 1 species